rnacentral:rRNA from 1 species
AAUGUUAUCACGGGAGACACACGGCGGGUGCUAACGUCCGUCGUGAAGAGGGAAACAACCCAGACCGCCAGCUAAGGUCCCAAAGUCAUGGUUAAGUGGGAAACGAUGUGGGAAGGCCCAGACAGCCAGGAUGUUGGCUUAGAAGCAGCCAUCAUUUAAAGAAAGCGUAAUAGCUCACUGGUCGAGUCGGCCUGCGCGGAAGAUGUAACGGGGCUAAACCAUGCACCGAAGCUGCGGCAGCGACACUAUGUGUUGUUGGGUAGGGGAGCGUUCUGUAAGCCUGUGAAGGUGUACUGUGAGGUAUGCUGGAGGUAUCAGAAGUGCGAAUGCUGACAUAAGUAACGAUAAAGCGGGUGAAAAGCCCGCUCGCCGGAAGACCAAGGGUUCCUGUCCAACGUUAAUCGGGGCAGGGUGAGUCGACCCCUAAGGCGAGGCCGAAAGGCGUAGUCGAUGGGAAACAGGUUAAUAUUCCUGUACUUGGUGUUACUGCGAAGGGGGGACGGAGAAGGCUAUGUUGGCCGGGCGACGGUUGUCCCGGUUUAAGCGUGUAGGCUGGUUUUCCAGGCAAAUCCGGAAAAUCAAGGCUGAGGCGUGAUGACGAGGCACUACGGUGCUGAAGCAACAAAUGCCCUGCUUCCAGGAAAAGCCUCUAAGCAUCAGGUAACAUCAAAUCGUACCCCAAACCGACACAGGUGGUCAGGUAGAGAAUACCAAGGCGCUUGAGAGAACUCGGGUGAAGGAACUAGGCAAAAUGGUGCCGUAACUUCGGGAGAAGGCACGCUGAUAUGUAGGUGAAGCGACUUGCUCGUGGAGCUGAAAUCAGUCGAAGAUACCAGCUGGCUGCAACUGUUUAUUAAAAACACAGCACUGUGCAAACACGAAAGUGGACGUAUACGGUGUGACGCCUGCCCGGUGCCGGAAGGUUAAUUGAUGGGGUUAGCGGUAACGCGAAGCUCUUGAUCGAAGCCCCGGUAAACGGCGGCCGUAACUAUAACGGUCCUAAGGUAGCGAAAUUCCUUGUCGGGUAAGUUCCGACCUGCACGAAUGGCGUAAUGAUGGCCAGGCUGUCUCCACCCGAGACUCAGUGAAAUUGAACUCGCUGUGAAGAUGCAGUGUACCCGCGGCAAGACGGAAAGACCCCGUGAACCUUUACUAUAGCUUGACACUGAACAUUGAGCCUUGAUGUGUAGGAUAGGUGGGAGGCUUUGAAGUGUGGACGCCAGUCUGCAUGGAGCCGACCUUGAAAUACCACCCUUUAAUGUUUGAUGUUCUAACGUUGGCCCGUUAUCCGGGUUGCGGACAGUGUCUGGUGGGUAGUUUGACUGGGGCGGUCUCCUCCUAAAGAGUAACGGAGGAGCACGAAGGUUGGCUAAUCCUGGUCGGACAUCAGGAGGUUAGUGCAAUGGCAUAAGCCAGCUUGACUGCGAGCGUGACGGCGCGAGCAGGUGCGAAAGCAGGUCAUAGUGAUCCGGUGGUUCUGAAUGGAAGGGCCAUCGCUCAACGGAUAAAAGGUACUCCGGGGAUAACAGGCUGAUACCGCCCAAGAGUUCAUAUCGACGGCGGUGUUUGGCACCUCGAUGUCGGCUCAUCACAUCCUGGGGCUGAAGUAGGUCCCAAGGGUAUGGCUGUUCGCCAUUUAAAGUGGUACGCGAGCUGGGUUUAGAACGUCGUGAGACAGUUCGGUCCCUAUCUGCCGUGGGCGCUGGAGAACUGAGGGGGGCUGCUCCUAGUACGAGAGGACCGGAGUGGACGCAUCACUGGUGUUCGGGUUGUCAUGCCAAUGGCACUGCCCGGUAGCUAAAUGCGGAAGAGAUAAGUGCUGAAAGCAUCUAAGCACGAAACUUGCCCCGAGAUGAGUUCUCCCUGACUCCUUGA